UGGGGAAUAUUGGACAAUGGGCGCAAGCCUGAUCCAGCCAUGCCGCGUGAGUGAUGAAGGCCCUAGGGUUGUAAAGCUCUUUCACCGGUGAAGAUAAUGACGGUAACCGGAGAAGAAGCCCCGGCUAACUUCGUGCCAGCAGCCGCGGUAAUACGAAGGGGGCUAGCGUUGUUCGGAUUUACUGGGCGUAAAGCGCACGUAGGCGGACUUUUAAGUCAGGGGUGAAAUCCCGGGGCUCAACCCCGGAACUGCCUUUGAUACUGGAAGUCUUGAGUAUGGUAGAGGUGAGUGGAAUUGCCGAGUGUAGAGGUGAAAUUCGUAGAUAUUCGGAGGAACACCAGUGGCGAAGGCGGCUCACUGGACCAUUACUGACGCUGAGGUGCG
rnacentral:rRNA from 1 species